rnacentral:rRNA from 1 species
GCGCGAAAACUUUACAAUGCUGGCAACAGCGAUAAGGGAACCUCGAGUGCCAGGUUACAAAUCUGGCUGUCGAGAUGCCUAAAAAGCAUUUCAUAGCAAGGGCCGGGCAAGACCGGUGCCAGCCGCCGCGGUAACACCGGCGGCUCGAGUGGUAACCGUUAUUAUUGGGUCUAAAGGGUCUGUAGCCGGCCGGAUAAGUCUCUUGAGAAAUCUGGCAGCUUAACUGUCAGGCUUUCAGGAGAUACUGUCUGGCUCGAGGCCGGGAGA